CGGUCCGUCCGGGCCGUCGGAUGAAAAGGGAAUCGGGUGCAAAUCCCGGACAGUCCCGCUGCUGUGAGCUUCCGCAAAAGGGUGUGUCAAAACACUUGCAGCCACUGUCUUUCCGAAAGGAGGGACGGGAAGGCGACAUACCUUGGGAGCGAGUCAGAAGACCUGCAAAA
rnacentral:ncRNA from 1 species